AUUGAACGCUGGCGGCAUGCUUCACACAUGCAAGUCGAACGGUAACAGGUUAAGCUGACGAGUGGCGAACGGGUGAGUAAUGCAUCGGAACGGGCCCGAUCGUGGGGGAUAACGUAGAGAAAGUUACGCUAAUACCGCAUACGAUCUGAGGAUGAAAGCGGGGGACCGUAAGGCCUCGCGCGAUCGGAGCGGCCGAUGUCAGAUUAGGUAGUUGGUGGGGUAAAGGCCCACCAAGCCGACGAUCUGUAGCUGGUCUGAGAGGACGACCAGCCACACUGGGACUGAGACACGGCCCAGACUCCUACGGGAGGCAGCAGUGGGGAAUUUUGGACAAUGGGCGCAAGCCUGAUCCAGCAAUGCCGCGUGCAGGAAGAAGGCCUUCGGGUUGUAAACUGCUUUUGUACGGAGCGAAAAGGCUCUCUCUAAUACAGGGGGCUCAUGACGGUACCGUAAGAAUAAGCACCGGCUAACUACGUGCCAGCAGCCGCCGUAA
rnacentral:rRNA from 1 species